rnacentral:rRNA from 1 species
UACGAAGGGGGCUAGCGUUGUUCGGAUUUACUGGGCGUAAAGCGCACGUAGGCGGAUCGUUAAGUCGGGGGUGAAAUCCUGGAGCUCAACUCCAGAACUGCCUUCGAUACUGGCGAUCUUGAGUCCGGAAGAGGUGAGUGGAACUCCUAGUGUAGAGGUGGAAUUCGUAGAUAUUAGGAAGAACACCAGUGGCGAAGGCGGCUCACUGGUCCGGUACUGACGCUGAGGCACGAAAGCGUGGGGAGCAAAUAGG